rnacentral:rRNA from 1 species
AUGAACUGCCUACUACGGACCUCGCGCCUCCUCCUGCUCGUCUGUAAGCAGGCAGGCGGCGUCCGCCGACUGGCUUCGCUGCUGCCGCCCCAUGCAAACCCGGUGCCCCGCUUCAAUCAGUUGUACCGUAAUCCGCGUACGGUCCUCGCCUCAGGUGCCGAGGCUAUGGCCGCCUUGCUCCACUACGACCGCGAGGUUGUGCCUUACACGAACCGCACGCACAUGGUAAUCAGGUCUCCUCAGUCCGAACGCCAGCUCUGGGAGCCCCGCUACACAAAGCAGAAGAAAAUCUGGGCUUCCAAAUCACAAAUCGUCGACCCGCUUCACCCGGACAGCGUUCGUGUCCGUCGUAUCGCCGAGAAAGUUAUUCGCGCCACCUAUCGUACCCUCCCUAUCAACAGCAGCCACGAUGGCACCAAGAGCCCCAAGCCACAGACAAGUCAUCUUGAGGGGUUUGAGUGGGAGGUGAUACUUCUCAAUGACCACGACCACAAUGCAUUGUGCGCCCCUGGUGGCCAUAUUGCAGUAACCGCUGGAUUGGUCGAACAAUUUACAGAUGCUGAGAUUGCCUUUGGUAUUGCGCAUGAGAUUGGUCACAUCGUUGCUAGGCACUACUCGGAAGUUUGUUUCGCCAAGUGGUCUCCAACACUCAUGUUUUGGCCUUUCAUACGAAGGUCAGAGAUGGAGGCAGAUCACAUUGGAACCCUUCUACUUGGAGCUGCUGGUUUCCAUCCAUACGCGUCCCUCUUAUUCUUCUGGAAGUCUGCAAUGAUUGAAAGAGCGUCCUGGGUGCCACGAGAUUCCAUCCCUCUUCAUCCUUCACAUAAGAGAAGGGUUGAGCAUUUGUACCAACCCAAAAUCAUGGAGGAGGCGAUGAAGUUAUAUAAGGAAGCUCCGCCUGACGAAGGCACCAGCUCACAAGCCACCGGUGAAGGUUUUUCCUUUCGACAAACCCUGGGAGAUGCAUGCAAACUUAUAUCGACAAGACUGAGACGAGUUCUUACGGGGGAAUGA